UACAGAGGUCUCAAGCGUUGUUCGGAAUCACUGGGCGUAAAGCGUGCGUAGGCUGUUUCGUAAGUCGUGUGUGAAAGGCGCGGGCUCAACCCGCGGACGGCACAUGAUACUGCGAGACUAGAGUAAUGGAGGGGGAACCGGAAUUCCUAGUGUAGCGGUGAAAUGCGUAGAUAUUAGGAGGAACACCAGUGGCGAAGGCGGCCUACUGGACAGUGACUGACGCUGAGGCUCGAAAGCGUGGGGAGCAAACAGG
rnacentral:rRNA from 1 species